rnacentral:rRNA from 1 species
CCUACGGGGGGCAGCAGUGGGGAAUAUUGGGCAAUGGACGCAAGUCUGACCCAGCAACGCCGCGUGAAGGAAGAAGGCUUUCGGGUUGUAAACUUCUUUUAAGGGGGAAGAGCAGAAGACGGUACCCCUUGAAUAAGCCACGGCUAACUACGUGCCAGCAGCCGCGGUAAUACGUAGGUGGCAAGCGUUGUCCGGAUUUACUGGGUGGAAAGGGCGUGCAGCCGGAGAGACAAGUCAGAUGUGAAAUCCACGGGCUCAACCCGUGAACUGCAUUUGAAACUGUUUCCCUUGAGUGUCGGAGAGGUAAUCGGAAUUCCUAGUGUAGCGGUGAAAUGCGUAGAUAUUAGGAGGAACACCAGUGGCGAAGGCGGUCUGCUGGACAGCAACUGACGCUGAGGCGCGAAAGCGUGGGGAGCAAACAGGAUUAGAUACCCGAGUAGUC